AUGAGGACUUACAUGUUAGUAGAGCUGCCACUAUGCUGCAGGGGUACAUUAAUGGAAUCCGUCAUUACAACCGGUGUAAAGGACUCAAUAUUAGGAAUAGGUGCAUGCUCGUGCUGCGGUGUGUCUGCGCUGUACUGCGACACAUUGUGCUAGUCACUGGAUUUCAAUUAAAGAAGUAAAAUAACAUGUCCUCUGCAGUAAGUUGGUCUCCGUGGGUAAAUAUUCAAUUUGGACAGCUUUAAAUGGUUAUGGCCAGUAAAUAUCUCCAAAUAUAAAUCUCUUCCACUAACUCCUAACACAGGGUACACGAUGUCCGGAUGUGCUGCAGGUGAAGGGGGACGAUGUGCUGGAGUUCUUUGCAGCAGGAGCCAACCUGUACUUCCAGGUAGAGCAGUGUCUGCAAGAGGAAGACUGACUGUGUGUACAUUAUUAACAUGAGAACGACGUGGUAGCAGCCAAGGCCAUUGUUGUCAUGGAGAAUCGAGGCGAUGUUGGUGUAUCUCCUCCAGGAAUACAGGACAGGAAAAAGGAUGAGGGAUGCAGAAACUACAGAUGAAGACGUUGUCAUCCUUUGCCCCAGGGGCUGUUGUGAAAAAUCUCCAGGUAGCUCCCCUGGGAAGUUAUGCCUGAUCUCUAGUUCUACAGAGACCCAGAGGAGAGGACUGGGGUGCCCAAACUCCACUGAACACUGGUCUGCAACUCCCACAGCACAGGCCUCUGACUGGGACGGUGCUAGCUCCGACUGAUCCAAAGUCAUGACUGUCAAAACACAUGAGAAAGGCAACGCACUAUGAGCUGAGAAAUCAAUAAAGUUGGCUGGUUUUUCAUAAAACUA